rnacentral:rRNA from 1 species
GAUGAACGCUGGCGGCGUGCCUAAUACAUGCAAGUCGAGCGAACGGACGAGAAGCUUGCUUCUCUGAUGUUAGCGGCGGACGGGUGAGUAACACGUGGAUAACCUACCUAUAAGACUGGGAUAACUUCGGGAAACCGGAGCUAAUACCGGAUAAUAUUUUGAACCGCAUGGUUCAAAAGUGAAAGACGGUCUUGCUGUCACUUAUAGAUGGAUCCGCGCUGCAUUAGCUAGUUGGUAAGGUAACGGCUUACCAAGGCAACGAUGCAUAGCCGACCUGAGAGGGUGAUCGGCCACACUGGAACUGAGACACGGUCCAGACUCCUACGGGAGGCAGCAGUAGGGAAUCUUCCGCAAUGGGCGAAAGCCUGACGGAGCAACGCCGCGUGAGUGAUGAAGGUCUUCGGAUCGUAAAACUCUGUUAUUAGGGAAGAACAUAUGUGUAAGUAACUGUGCACAUCUUGACGGUACCUAAUCAGAAAGCCACGGCUAACUACGUGCCAGCAGCCGCGGUAAUACGUAGGUGGCAAGCGUUAUCCGGAAUUAUUGGGCGUAAAGCGCGCGUAGGCGGUUUUUUAAGUCUGAUGUGAAAGCCCACGGCUCAACCGUGGAGGGUCAUUGGAAACUGGAAAACUUGAGUGCAGAAGAGGAAAGUGGAAUUCCAUGUGUAGCGGUGAAAUGCGCAGAGAUAUGGAGGAACACCAGUGGCGAAGGCGACUUUCUGGUCUGUAACUGACGCUGAUGUGCGAAAGCGUGGGGAUCAAACAGGAUUAGAUACCCUGGUAGUCCCCGCCGUAAACGAUGAGUGCUAAGUGUUAGGGGGUUUCCGCCCCUUAGUGCUGCAGCUAACGCAUUAAGCACUCCGCCUGGGGAGUACGACCGCAAGGUUGAAACUCAAAGGAAUUGACGGGGACCCGCACAAGCGGUGGAGCAUGUGGUUUAAUUCGAAGCAACGCGAAGAACCUUACCAAAUCUUGACAUCCUUUGACAACUCUAGAGAUAGAGCCUUCCCCUUCGGGGGACAAAGUGACAGGUGGUGCAUGGUUGUCGUCAGCUCGUGUCGUGAGAUGUUGGGUUAAGUCCCGCAACGAGCGCAACCCUUAAGCUUAGUUGCCAUCAUUAAGUUGGGCACUCUAAGUUGACUGCCGGUGACAAACCGGAGGAAGGUGGGGAUGACGUCAAAUCAUCAUGCCCCUUAUGAUUUGGGCUACACACGUGCUACAAUGGACAAUACAAAGGGCAGCGAAACCGCGAGGUCAAGCAAAUCCCAUAAAGUUGUUCUCAGUUCGGAUUGUAGUCUGCAACUCGACUACAUGAAGCUGGAAUCGCUAGUAAUCGUAGAUCAGCAUGCUACGGUGAAUACGUUCCCGGGUCU